rnacentral:lncRNA from 1 species
GCGGCGGUGCUGCCUCCUCCCACACGCUCCGUGGGUUCGACCUGAACCUUCCGGCGCCCCUCACGGAGUUCUGGCCGCCGGUGGGGUUCGACUUCAGGAAGAAAGUCGGCGGAGGCGACGAGCAAGAGGUGGAAAGCCCGUUGCCAAUAAACGCCGCCAAGAAGGCGCGUUUGUUUUCGGGCGAUGACGAUCAAACGGCGUAGAAAUGUUUAUUUGAAUUUUAUUGUAAUUGAAUUUGCUGGGCUGGUGAAUAUGAAUCGUAACCUCUUAGUUUAAUUUCCAUUUGUUGUUUUUAUUUUAAUUAUCUUCUGUUUAGGGGAUUAGGUUCGGAUUUUGUUUCUGCUCAUCUGUGCAGACAAAAUUUGUUCAUUGCUUUUGGACUCUUCUUUGUCAUUGAUGCAAUCUGACAAAUUCGUUUAUCAGUAAAAUAUUAUUUACGUUAAAGAUGAAUACAAGUGAUUUCUCAUUAUUCUUA